rnacentral:misc_RNA from 2 species
AAAAUGCGAUAAGUAAUGUGAAUUGCAGAAUUCAGUGAAUCAUCGAAUCUUUGAACGCACAUUGCGCCCGCCAGUAUUCUGGCGGGCAUGCCUGUUCGAGCGUCAUUUCAACCCUCAAGCCCAGCUUGGUGUUGGGAGCUGCAGUCCUGCUGCACUCCCCAAAUACAUUGGCGGUCACGUCGAGCUUCCAUAGCGUAGUAAUUUACACAUCGUUACUGGUAAUCGUCGCGGCCACGCCGUUAAACCCCAACUUCUGAAUGUUGACCUCGGAUCAGGUAGGAAUACCCGCUGAACUUAA